rnacentral:piRNA from 1 species
UGCCUGUUCAUGGGAUGAUGCAGCCU